GGCCGGUUGGCGCAGUGGUUACCGCGCUAGAUUUAGGUACUACCUCUCACACUUGAGAGGACAGGUCUGAAACCAACUCUAGUAUUCCUGGGUUCGAACCCCAGACUGGUCA